GAAGUACUCCUUCCGUCCCAAAAUAAGUGACUCAACUUUGUACUAACUUUAGUACAAAGUUAAUACAAACUUGAGUCACUUAUUUUGGGACGGAGGGAGUAUAUA
rfam:Triticum aestivum genome assembly, contig: Triticum_aestivum_CS42_TGACv1_scaffold_640786_T_7BL-0.163880_1BS-0.082103